CGUUGGCACUGGAUGCCUGAUGGGAGGGGCAGAAUCAUCCAAUAUCAAUGCAAUUCCUAACCUGGGAGGUCCAUUAUCAUCACUGCAGCACUAGGACAGAGUGACGGACAACUAACCCCAGCAAUUACUGCGACCAGACAACCCCAACAAACUAGCCUGUAAUCACCACUAUCAACCAAAGCGGGAUGGGGGGGUGAAAGAGUCCUGAGAGGAACCUGGUCUGCCCCCGCCCCCUGUUUGCCCACCACCCCCUGAGACCAAAGGAGGAUUGCGAAAGAAACCACUGAAUGCAUGUUCUCUGCUAUAAAACAUUCCCGUUCAGUGAUGGUCCUCGGCUCAUCUUGCAUGUAAAUCAGAGUUUUGUAUGCUUGAUGACCACAGCAACAGUCAUGUGACAGGAAAGCACAUGGCUGGAGGAGUUAGCACCACGGAGGAAACUGAAAUUGGAAGAAAUCGAAGUAACUUUUUUUGUGUGUUUUUAAAUAAAGAAUAUGUUUCCUGGUUUCCAAACAGGUUGUAUUUCAUUUACAUGUACAAAAAAAUAAGGAACAGCAUAUUUUUUAUGGUGCAUUUUGUGUACAUUUAAUGCUAACGCUAAACAGAUAUUAGCAUGCUAACAUAUCAAAAGAUUUUUUGAUGUCAUUUCCACAAUAGUCACACUUUGUUU